rnacentral:rRNA from 1 species
CUAUGAUCUGAAGUCAAGUGGGACUACCCGCUGAACUUAAGCAUAUCAAUAAGCGGAGGAA